ensembl:lncRNA
GUUUCGUCAAUGUUUCGUUCAUCUGCCAACCGAGCCUUCGGGUCAAUGAAUCGUUCAUCGUUCAUUUCUCACGUGACCUGCUCAGCACUGGUACCACUUGGUUGGCAGAAGGAUCAUUUUCCACGUGACCUGCGUUCAACGAAUCAGUUCUGUUUCCUUGGCUGAGCCGAUGCAAGUCCCGAUGCGUGGCCACGAGAAAAUGAACGAAUCUUUUUUUGAGAGGACUCGUUACUCUCGAGUCCUCGUAAGGAUUCGCUCAAAAUGAACGAAUCGUUCACGAACGACACAUCACUAACGGCCAUCACUGGAACACCUGCGGCCCAUUCGGGCAGGUGCCCCCGUUAAAUGUUCAGUUUUCAAGUUAUUCAGAGCACUACACUUUAUUUUUAUUUAACACAAGGAUAAUACAUAUAGACUGUAAAACCUACCAGCUCAUCUUAAUAAAAGAGGUAAGCUAACCCAACUUAAAUGGCAUAGAAAGUUGUAGCUACUUGAGUGAUACACUAACAUGAACUCAUAAUUGAACUGCAGCCAUAAUGACUCAGUCAUUUUGAGUUUGAUCAACUUCUGGUAGACUUUCAAGUUAUGUGUAUCAAUUCCAAAGUGUUGUAUUAACUCAUUUGAUCUAAAUUGACAUUACAUACAGGCUGUGUUAGAAAACGUGUUCGCCUCGCAAAUCAUAGGCUAUCAACCAUUAUUACUGGUUACAAUAACGGUGUUAUCGGAUAGUACAGUGUCUAUUUCUCGGUAACUUUUGAAAAAUCUAAGCGAGAAAACGCCGAAUAAUGUACAUGUACAUACAAAACACGGCUGUCAGCGGAGUUUGGUCCGCCAUCUUUGUUCACAGUUUCCAGUUGCCGAGGGAGCUGGCGCAGAUUUGUGGCUAACAGGCAGCUUCAAGGCUGCGUCGAGGCAAAGGGAAGAGAGGUCGUAAGACAGUGAGUCUGUCUUUCUGUAUGUAAAUGUACAUUUUGUGUCCUGGAUGAAUGACUUGAGCUGAACAAAGUUCCAUACGGCGGUAGUUCCCGGCGCGUGUCCGAUGAUGAAGUACUAUUCUCGGACACUCGUGCUGGAAUGGUGGGUGUGCUGGAUGGAUGACUUGAACCAAACGAAGUUCCAGAGAGCGGGAGUUCCCGGCGGUGCCCCUUUCCUUGGUGAAUUUGGUCCGGCCGCCCCUCUGCCUGUCCUCCACGUCCCCUGGAUGUCCGGUUACCCCGGCGACUACGUGCCGCGUCCAAACAUCCUGCUCAACGUGCCGGGGUUUCACCCCGUGCCCGCUGGGCUUUACAGCUACGGCCCCCGCGGGCCCCCGGCGUUCCUCCACUACCCGCCUCCACCGCGGCCUGGGGCCGCUGCUGUGAUCCUCUGUGCACGCCAGCCGCCCCGGGAGCCGCCGCCGCCGCCGCCUCCCUCCGAACACACUGAGCCAGACGUGGAAGUGGAUUAAAGCAGCCAGCUGGUUCACAGUUUGUUAUCGAAUCUGUUCGUUUUCCCCUUCUGUUUUGUACCGAUGACAGUUCUGUUCACACUGAUGGCAUAAAUGUUUCUGCACAGUUUGUUUGUGCAAUAUAUCGAUAUUAAAUAAGGCUUUGACAUUAAAAAAAUAAGUCCGUUAUGGUUCUUAUUUUGUAUGUGUUAUUUUACUCCACAAAGAAAAAUAAAAUAUCUUUUCAUAAACA